GGUAACAUAUAUACUAGCUUGCUAGAAGAUGACGAGUGGCGGACGGGUGAGUAAUGCUUGGGAACUUGCCUUUGCGAGGGGGAUAACAGUUGGAAACGACUGCUAAUACCGCAUAAUGUCUUCGGACCAAACGGGGCUUCGGCUCCGGCGCAAAGAGAGGCCCAAGUGAGAUUAGCUAGUUGGUAAGGUAACGGCUUACCAAGGCGACGAUCUCUAGCUGUUCUGAGAGGAAGAUCAGCCACACUGGGACUGAGACACGGCCCAGACUCCUACGGGAGGCAGCAGUGGGGAAUAUUGCACAAUGGGGGAAACCCUGAUGCAGCCAUGCCGCGUGUGUGAAGAAGGCCUUCGGGUUGUAAAGCACUUUCAGUUGUGAGGAAAAGUUAGUAGUUAAUACCUGCUAGCCGUGACGUUAACAACAGAAGAAGCACCGGCUAACUCCGUGCCAGCAGCCGCGGUAAUACGGAGGGUGCGAGCGUUAAUCGGAAUUACUGGGCGUAAAGCGCACGCAGGCGGUUUGUUAAGCUAGAUGUGAAAGCCCCGGGCUCAACCUGGGAUGGUCAUUUAGAACUGGCAGACUAGAGUCUUGGAGAGGGGAGUGGAAUUCCAGGUGUAGCGGUGAAAUGCGUAGAUAUCUGGAGGAACAUCAGUGGCGAAGGCGACUCCCUGGCCAAAGACUGACGCUCAUGUGCGAAAGUGUGGGUAGCGAACAGGAUUAGAUACCCUGGUAGUCCACACCGUAAACGCUGUCUACUAGCUGUGUGUGUCUUUAAGCGUGCGUAGCGAAGCUAACGCGCUAA
rnacentral:rRNA from 1 species